rnacentral:rRNA from 1 species
CCUCUUGCAAAUCAAUGAAUAAUAGGUCCCGCCUGCCCUGUGACUAUAUGUUUAACGGCCGCGGUAUUUUGACCGUGCGAAGGUAGCGCAAUCACUUGUCUUUUAAAUGGAGACCUGUAUGAAUGGCAUCACGAGGGCUUAACUGUCUCCCCCUCCCAGUCAAUGAAAUUGAUCUCUCCGUGCAGAAGCGGGGAUAAAAACAUAAGACGAGAAGACCCUAUGGAGCUUUAGACGUCAGAGCAGCCCAUGUUAAACACCCCCAAACAAGGGGAAAAACCAAAUGAAGCCUGCCCUAAUGUCUUUGGUUGGGGCGACCGUGGGGAAAUACAAAACCCCCAUGUGGAGUAGGAACACGUUUUCCUAAACUCAAGAGCUCCCGCUCUAACGAACAGAAAUUCUGACCAAUAAGAUCCGGCACAUGCCGAUCAACGGACCGAGUUACCCUAGGGAUAACAGCGCAAUCCCCUUAAAGAGCCCUUAUCGACAAGGGGGUUUACGACCUCGAUGUUGGAUCAGGACAUCCUAAUGGUGCAGCCGCUAUUAAGGGUUCGUUUGUUCAACGAUUAAAGUCCU